GAUGAACGCUGGCGGCGUGCCUAAUACAUGCAAGUCGAGCGAACAGACGAGGAGCUUGCUCCUCUGACGUUAGCGGCGGACGGGUGAGUAACACGUGGAUAACCUACCUAUAAGACUGGGAUAACUUCGGGAAACCGGAGCUAAUACCGGAUAAUAUAUUGAACCGCAUGGUUCAAUAGUGAAAGACGGUUUUGCUGUCACUUAUAGAUGGAUCCGCGCCGCAUUAGCUAGUUGGUAAGGUAACGGCUUACCAAGGCAACGAUGCGUAGCCGACCUCAGAGGGUGAUCGGCCACACUGGAACUGAGACACGGUCCAGACUCCUACGGGAGGCAGCAGUAGGGAAUCUUCCGCAAUGGGCGAAAGCUUGACGGAGCAACGCCGCGUGAGUGAUGAAGGUCUUCGGAUCGUAAAACUCUGUUAUUAGGGAAGAACAAAUGUGUAAGUAACUAUGCACGUCUUGACGGUACCUAAUCAGAAAGCCACGGCUAACUACGUG
rnacentral:rRNA from 1 species